CCUACGGCAGGCAGCAGUGGGGAAUUUUCCGCAAUGGGCGAAAGCCUGACGGAGCAACGCCGCGUGAGGGAUGAAGGCCUCUGGGCUGUAAACCUCUUUUUUCAAGGAAGAAGAUCUGACGGUACUUGAAGAAUAAGCCACGGCUAAUUCCGUGCCAGCAGCCGCGGUAAUACGGGAGUGGCAAGCGUUAUCCGGAAUUAUUGGGCGUAAAGCGUCCGCAGGCGGCCUUGAAAGUCUGUCGUUAAAGCGUGGAGCUUAACUCCAUUUAAGCGAUGGAAACUACAAGGCUAGAGUGUGGUAUGGGCAGAGGGAAUUCCCGGUGUAGCGGUGAAAUGCGUAGAUAUCGGGAAGAACACCAGUGGCGAAGGCGCUCUGCUGGGCCAUAACUGACGCUCAUGGACGAAAGCCAGGGGAGCGAAAGGGAUUAGAUACCCCUGUAGUCCUGGCCGUAAACGAUGAACACUAGGUGUCGGGGGAAUCGACCCCCUCGGUGUCGUAGCCAACGCGUUAAGUGUUCCGCCUGGGGAGUACGCACGCAAGUGUGAAACUCAAAGGAAUUGACGG
rnacentral:rRNA from 1 species